CGAUAACGAACGAGACCUUAACCUGCUAAAUAGCCCGUAUUGCUUUGGCAGUACGCUGGCUUCUUAGAGGGACUAUCGGCUCAAGCCGAUGGAAGUUUGAGGCAAUAACAGGUCUGUGAUGCCCUUAGAUGUUCUGGGCCGCACGCGCGCUACACUGACUGAGCCAGCGAGUACUCCCUUGACCGGAAGGUCCGGGUAAUCUUGUUAAACUCAGUCGUGCUGGGGACAGAGCAUUGCAAUUAUUGCUCUUCAACGAGGAAUCCCUAGUAAGCGCAAGUCAUCAGCUUGCGUUGAUUACGUCCCUGCCCUUUGUACACACCGCCCGUCGCUACUACCGGAUUGAAUGGCU
rnacentral:rRNA from 1 species